AGAACGAACGCUGGCGGCGUGCCUAACACAUGCAAGUCGAACGAGAAAUCCCGGGCAACUGGGAGAGUAAAGUGGCGCACGGGUGAGUAACGCGUGGGUAACCUACCCUUGAAUUGGGGAUAACUCUUCGAAAGGGGAGUUAAUACCGAAUAAUAUUUCAAUUCCUACGGGGGUUGGAAUCAAAGAUGGCCUCUGCAUGCAAGCUAUCGUUUAAGGAUGGGCCCGCGUGCCAUUAGCUAGUUGGUAGGGUAAUGGCCUACCAAGACGACGAUGGUUAGCUGGUCUGAGAGGAUGGCCAGCCACACUGGAACUGAGACACGGUCCAGACUCCUACGGGAGGCAGCAGUGGGGAAUCUUGCGCAAUGGGGGAAACAUUGACGCAGCAACGCCGCGUGGGUGAUGAAGGCCUUCGGGUCGUAAAGCCCUGUCAGGUGGGAAGAAACCUGUGGAUGCUAAUAUCAUCUACAAUUGACGGUACCGCCGAAGGAAGCACCGGCUAACUCCGUGCCAGCAGCCGCGGUAAUACGGAGGGUGCAAGCGUUGUUCGGAUUUAUUGGGCGUAAAGCGCGUGUAGGUGGCUGGGUAAGUCAGAUGUGAAAGCCUUCUGCUUAACAGAAGAAGUGCAUUUGAAACUGCUCGGCUAGAGUACGGGAGAGGAGAGUGGAAUUCCCGGUGUAGAGGUGAAAUUCGUAGAUAUCGGGAGGAACACCAGUGGCGAAGGCGGCUCUCUGGUCCGAUACUGACGCUGAGACGCGAAAGCGUGGGGAGCAAACAGGAUUAGAUACCCUGGUAGUCCACGCGGUAAACGAUGGGCACUAGGUGUAGGAGGUAUUGACCCCUUCUGUGCCGAAGCUAACGCAUUAAGUGCCCCGCCUGGGGAGUACGGCCGCAAGGCUAA
rnacentral:rRNA from 1 species